UCUUUUUUCUUAGCUAUAGACAAUAACUGAUUGUUUGAAUCCCCGACAUAAGUGAUCACAACUUGCUGGACACAGUGAUGCACACCUGAAAUCCUAGCAUUUGGGAGGUGGAGGGAGGAGGUCUAGGCGCUCACACCCAGGCUUAACUACACAGCAUGUGAUCCAGCCUUGGUUGUGAGAGGCUCUGUCUCAAAAAAGUUGUUGUUGUUGUUUCAAUUUGAAAGUUGACAGCCAUUAAAGUGUGUAUGUGUGAGACGUGUGUUUAAGUUUUCAGAUAGGAUGCCCAUUGUUUUAGAGCUGCUGGCAAGACUCAACACCCACGGAGUACUUACCAGGGUACAGCAGGGCUUUCUUCCAAUCUGCAAUAGAACAGACCCGAGACAGCUGAGUACUGACCUGUGGCCUCACACUUCCCCCUUUCCCCCUCAACUUUCCACACCAGUCAUCCUUAAACCCUUCAGUUCCUUCAUCCCCACCUCACGAGGGUACUAAGGGGGAGUUGGCAUCAGGGCCUCUGGGUGCAGGACGCCUGGUCUCUUACCUUUUCUGUACAGUGCCUUCUGCUGAUCGCUGAUCUGAAAGAAAUAACAUUCGGUGAACGGCCAGCCAGAGUGGUGAUAAAGAGAAGCAAAUGCUACAGAGAGGGAGGAGAAGUCACACUCACCCAAGUCAUCCUUGAGGUCAUCUGAAAGAGAGGGAAGCUGGCUGCAGCAAGGAGGAGACGGACACAUGCUGUGACUCUCAGGAAGGAUCUCAGCAAACAGACAGCAGAGGCCUCAACAGGCUCAAGUCACCCACAUCCAGCGAAGGUUCAGGGACCUCUUCUCCACCCUGCUUCUGCUUCCACGUGGGGCUCCAGUUAAAGCCUACUGCGUUUCUAGACCUGGUUCCUCUAUUUUCUGC